CUCAUUCAUCCCCUGAAGUGUAAUCCCUUGAGAUCUCGGAAAUACUCCAUAACCUGAAAACACUCUUUGUUUUGAAGGAUAAGAAAUAAUGGACUGUUUCCACAGGGUCCACUUUCCAGUAUCAGACAGUUUUGAGCCGGAUUCUGAGUUGUUUUACACCACCGCUCCAAAUCAGACAGUUGUUAUCAGCAGGAUGAUUGAUGCCAGCGUGAAGCAAAGGACUGCGAUACAGAAGAGCUACUUCAAGGGAAUGUGACUGGCUAGAUGGAAAGUGAGAGGGGAGAUUUUCCCUGAGAUCUUCAGACAUGUGGACCUCAAGGUACUAUUAAUUUUGUUUAAAGAGUGGGAUGAAGAAUGGGGUGGAGGACAUGUAAGUGAGACGAUGUAAAAACAAAACAAGCC
rnacentral:lncRNA from 1 species